rnacentral:rRNA from 1 species
UAAUCGCGAAUCAGAAUGUCGCGGUGAAUACGUUCCCGGGCCUUGUACACACCGCCCGUCACACCAUGAGAGUCGAUAACACCCGAAGCCUGUGAGCUAACCUUUCAGGAGGCAGCAGUCGAAGGUGGGGUUGAUGAUUGGGGUGAAGUCGUAACAAGGUAAC